rnacentral:rRNA from 1 species
UUUUAUGGAGAGUUUGAUCCUGGCUCAGAGUGAACGCUGGCGGCGUGCCUAAUACAUGCAAGUCGAACGAUGAAGCUUCUAGCUUGCUAGAAGUGGAUUAGUGGCGCACGGGUGAGUAAGGUAUAGUUAAUCUGCCCUACACAAGAGGACAACAGUUGGAAACGACUGCUAAUACUCUAUACUCCUGCUUAACACAAGUUGAGUAGGGAAAGUUUUUCGGUGUAGGAUGAGACUAUAUAGUAUCAGCUAGUUGGUAA